GUAGGUGAACCUACGGAAGGAUCAUUG
rnacentral:rRNA from 1 species